GGGGAAUGAGGCUUUCCUCUGUGAGGCUUUCUCCCUCAGUAUCCCUGCACCUAGGGGUCCUGGCGACGAGUCUGUGCAUGGGUCUUUUGCGUGUGAAUGUCUGAUGACUUUGGGAGAGGGCCUGGCGGGUGUAAGUGAGGCCGACUCCUUGCUGAACUUGGGGGUGUUUUGCACUUCGAAGCGCUCACGUGUUAUCGUUAGGAAGGUGUCUGUGCUCGCCUGCCUCCAGAGACAAGAGCCACGGAGUGGCCUGUGUGCAAGCGUGUGCGCGGACACUGUUCCGUGUGCGUGUGCGCGUGCGCGCUCCCUUCCCGCGGGACUCUGAACGCUGGGUAAAUGUUUUGAUGCUGGUCCCUCCUGGCUUCCACGUGUCUGUCUGUCUUAGCUGCCCGUGGUCAGUGGUGGGUUGGCUCUGCCCCUUCGCCUCUGUGGCCCGUCUGGAGCGGAGCCAGGCACCCCUCCCCACCUCACCCCAGACUUGAGGGCAGAUUCAUCUCAGGUGGAGGAACCCAGAGAUGAGGUCACUGUCCCUCCAGGUGAUGGGAAACUGCCGUCAAGGACUCCUCAGCAGAGCAAAACAGAGGCUCACCCUCC